UACGGAGGGUGCAAGCGUUAAUCGGAAUUACUGGGCGUAAAGCGUGCGUAGGUGGUUCGUUAAGUCCGUUGUGAAAGUCCAGGGCUCAACCCUGGAAAGCCGGUGGAAACUGUCGAGCUCGAGUCCGGAAGAGGCGAGUGGAAUUCCUGGUGUAGCGGUGAAAUGCGCAGAUAUCAGGAAGAACACCAGUGGCGAAGGCGGCUCACUGGCCCGUUACCGACGCUCAGGCGCGACAGCGUGGGGAGCAAACAGG
rnacentral:rRNA from 1 species